CCUGCCGGACUGACUGCUAUCGGAUUGGUACUAAGCCAUGCGAGUCGUUGUAGCAAUACAAGGCGGACUGCUCAGUAACACGUAGUUAACUUAACCUAUGGAUGGGCAUAACCUCGGGAAACUGAGAAUAAUACCCAAUGGACCACAGUGCCUGGAAUGGCCUGUGGUUGAAAUGAUACUAUCGCCGUAGGAUAGGACUGCGGCCUAUCAGCUUGUUGGUGAGGUAAUGGCCCACCAAGGCUAUAACAGGUACGGGCUCUGAGAGGAGGGGCCCGGAGAUGGGUACUGAGACACGGACCCAGGCCCUAUGGGGCGCAGCAGGCGAGAAACCUUUGCAAUGUGCGAAAGCACGACAAGGUUAAUCCGAGUGUCUCCUGCUAAAGGAGUCUUUUGUCAGUUGCAGAAUCACUGGUGAAUAAGGGGUGGGCAAGUUCUGGUGUCAGCCGCCGCGGUAAAACCAGCACCUCGAGUGGUCAGGAGGUUUAUUGGGCCUAAAGCAUCCGUAGCCGGUUGCAUAAGUUUUCGGUUAAAUCUAUGCGCUUAACGUAUAGGCCGNCGAAAAUACUGUGCAGCUAGGGAGUGGGAGAGGUACCCGGUACUCGAUAGGAAG
rnacentral:rRNA from 1 species